CCAGAACCCGCCGACAGGGGUGGCGAAAUUUUUCUUUCUUUCUUGUAGGCCCAGAAGUGUUUCCUGAAGUCAGUUUAUUUAUCAUCUGCGGGAGUUUCUUCACGCAACCUCAGCAUCGGUUCCUAAACAGCGCUUCCGUGUUGUGGGGAAGAAAUAGGCGACCCAAGGCGUCUGCGUUGUGUACACGUUUCUGAUGCCUGUCGGCGAGUUCCGGAAAGUGUGAGGUCCUUACCUCAUCAUUCAGAGAGAACGGAAUCCGGGGCACGUUGAAUUUCUGCGUAAUGACAACAGCUCCAGGCAUCAGGCAUCUAAGCAAGGGGUCCUCGCCUCGUACGAGUGGACCGAGGAGAUGCUCCCGACGGAGACCGGGCCCGGAAAACCAGCAAGUCCCCCGAAAGCCUCCACUAAUCGCCGGCCAAUGGCAUGUGCUCAAUUGAUUGAGCCGUUAUGUUCGCAGAUGUAAUCUAGAGCUGGCGUGACAAAAAGAGAAAAAAAGAAAUACAGAGGAGGAAGAUGAUGACGUUCCUCCAAGUCCAAUGGGUAACGGCUUCCUUCUUCACACCACGGGCAGACAGUUCAUCGACAGAAGUCGUGGCCGAUGGCCCGGGGUCUUAUUUAGUUUUCCUUUUCUAUAUUUCUCUGGUCCCGUAAUUCUCACGGGCAUUUGGGACGGACACUUACUUUAUCACACGCCACACCCCCCGUGCUCCUCACGCGAAGCAUCGCCGGGAACGGCAAAAAGCGAGAACCAGUAGACCCCGCGCAUGCUUGGGGGAGGGUUCCCCGAUUAAAUGGUCUCUGCCCUUCUUCGCAGAAGGGUCUCAACCAUGGUGCAGAUGGGUGGGCAAGCAGUCGGUAGCCGAGCCAUUCUUUGACACUCCAUGCUUUUAAUGUUUGUCGUUGCAAUUCUGUCUUUCGUUCUUGUCAGCAGUCCCGACCGUCCAUCUUGGGAUGGGAGCCGGGGAAAGAUGACAGGGUCGGGUGCGUC